rnacentral:rRNA from 1 species
GUGGGGAAUUUUGGACAAUGGGCGAAAGCCUGAUCCAGCCAUGCCGCGUGCAGGAUGAAGGCCUUCGGGUUGUAAACUGCUUUUGUACGGAACGAAAAGACUCCUUCUAAUAAAGGGGGUCCAUGACGGUACCGUAAGAAUAAGCACCGGCUAACUACGUGCCAGCAGCCGCGGUAAUACGUAGGGUGCAAGCGUUAAUCGGAAUUACUGGGCGUAAAGCGUGCGCAGGCGGUUAUAUAAGACAGAUGUGAAAUCCCCGGGCUCAACCUGGGAACUGCAUUUGUGACUGUAUAGCUAGAGUACGGUAGAGGGGGAUGGAAUUCCGCGUGUAGCAGUGAAAUGCGUAGAUAUGCGGAGGAACACCGAUGGCGAAGGCAAUCCCCUGGACCUGUACUGACGCUCAUGCACGAAAGCGUGGGGAGCAAACAGGAUUAGAUACCAGGGUAGUCC